rnacentral:rRNA from 1 species
AAUAAGAUCGGCUAACUCCGUGCCAGCAGCCGCGGUAAUACGGAGGAUGCGAGCGUUAUCCGGAUUAUUGGGUUUAAAGGGAGCGUAGACGGGAGAUUAAGUCAGUUGUGAAAGGCUGCGGCUCACCGCAGCACUGCAGUUGAUACUGGUUUCCUUGAGUGCGGUUGAGGUGUAUGGAAUUCGGGUGUAGCGGUGAAAUGCUUAGAUAUCACGAAGAACUCCGAUUGCGAAGGCAGUACACUAGCCGUAACUGACGUUGAGGCUCGAAAGUGUGGGUAUCAAACAGGAUUAGAUACCCUGGAGUCCACACGGUAAACGAUGAAUACUCGCUGUUGGCGAUAUACAGUCAGCGGCCAAGCGAAGCAUUAAGUAUUCCACCUGGGGAGUACGCCGGCAACGGUGAAACUCAAAGGAAUUGAGGGGGCCCGCACAAGCGGAGGAACAUGUGGUUUAAUUCGAUGAUACGCGAGGAACCUUACCGGGCUUAAAUUGCACUGGACAGGCUCAGAGAUGGGCCCUUCUUCGGACCAGUGUGAAGUGCUGCAUGGUUGUCGUCAGCUCGUGCCGUGAGGUGUCGGCUUAAGUGCCAUAACGAGGCAACCCUUGCCAUUAGUUACUAACAGGUUAUGCUGAGGACUCUAGUGGGACUGCCAUCUAAGAUGUGAGGAAGGUGGGGAUGACGUCAAAUCAGCACGGCCCUUACGUCCGGGGCUAACACGUGUUACAAUGGGAGGUACAGAAGGCUGCUACCCGGCGACGGGAUGCCAAUCCCCAAACCUCUCUCAGUUCGGAUUGGAGUCUGCAACCCGACUCCAUGAAGCUGGAUUCGCUAUAAUCGCGCAUCAGCCACGGCGCGGUGAAUACGUUCCCGGGCCUUGUACACACCGCCCG